rnacentral:rRNA from 1 species
UGAGUAACCUGCCCUUAACUCUGGGAUAAGCCUGGGAAACUGGGUCUAAUACCGGAUAUGACUCCUCAUCGCAUGGUGGGGGGUGAAAGCUUUUUGUGGUUUUGGAUGGACUCGCGGCCUAUCAGCUUGUUGGUGAGGUAAUGGCUCACCAAGGCGACGACGGGUAGCCGGCCUGAGAGGGUGACCGGCCACACUGGGACUGAGACACGGCCCAGACUCCGUACGGGAGGCAG